rnacentral:rRNA from 1 species
CGCGGUAAUUCCAGCUCCAAUAGCGUAUACUAAAGUGUUGCAGUUAAAAAGCUCGUAGUUGGAUUUCUGGCGGGGACGGCUGGUCGGUCUCGAAAGGGGCUGUACUGUUGUUGGUUCCCGUCAUCCUUGGGGAGAGCGGCUCUUACAUUAAGUUGUCGGCGUCGGGAUCCCUAUCUUUUACUGUGAAAAAAUUAGAGUGUUCAAAGCAGGCUUAGGCCCUGAAUACAUUAGCAUGGAAUAAUAAGAUACGACCUUGGUGGUCUAUUUUGUUGGUUUGCACGCCAAGGUAAUGAUUAAUAGGGUUAGUUGGGGGUAUUCGUAUUCAAUUGUCUGAGGUGAAAUUCUUGGGUUUAUGGAAGACGAACUACUGCGAAAGCAUUUACCAAGGAUGUUUUCAUUAAUCAAGAACGAAAGUUAGGGGAUCGAAGAUGAUUAGAUACCAUCGUAGUCUUAACCAUAAACUAUGCCGACUAGGGGUCGGUGGGUGCAUUUUUAGGCCUCAUCGGCACCUUAUGAGAAAUCAAAGUCUUUGGGUUCCGGGGGGAGUAUGGUCGCAAGGCUGAAACUUAAAGGAAUUGACGG